rnacentral:lncRNA from 1 species
AAAAAAAGGAAAACAAACACCUUCUUUCUCAAUCCUCUGCAGCACCCACCGCCACCAAUGCUACCUCUUCGCGUGCAAAUGUGAGUAUAGGGUGGGGCUGCGAGUGUAAUUAAUGUGGAAAAAAAUUAGAAAAAGGCAAGAGCUUGUUUUGUAGGUAAAAUGUGGAUGAAUAACAAAAUCAUAAUAUAUUGACAAUCAGUUGCAGUAAACCUCUGUUACCUUGGUUUAUCUGAGUUGCGCAACCAUUGUCGUCUAUAUAGUCCUUUUGAGAACAAUUGUUCAAUAACUUAUAUUCCUGGCAUUCAUGUAGAAGGAACUGCAGAUAUGCACCUUGGAAAGCAAAAUACUUCUAGCAAUCACUAUCUUGAUAUUGUCAAAGCCAUGCUCUUGGUGAUCUGUUUGGGGCUUUCAAUAUAUAUGCUGGGCUUUUUGACUGAAAACUGGGAUGGAUCGUGGUCAUGAGUACUUUACUUUGUUAGCAUUAUGGGAAUAUGAAGGCGGAUGGUUUCCUCGUGCUGCAUUAUUAUUGCAAGUUUAAUGAAAGGGUUUGUUGGGUGCAGUUACCCCCACUGGAGUUUGAGGGAAGGUCUUUGAGAUGGAAAAGAAAUAGUGAGAUGUCAUGUAAAUUGUAAUUCUGACGAAUCAAUGUGAAAAAACUUGUUCUUUUUGUUACGUAUUGUCAUAAUUAGCCAACCUACUUGGGCCUAUGGCCCACUCAAUCCGAACCAUGUGGCGCUCUAACCGAGGUGGCACGUAUGGCCGAGGCCCUUCAUGUCGAGACCCAUAUACCGAGGCCUGUGAAAGUAGCCGAAGCCCUAAAGCGGAAGUAUUACAUAUGGCAGAAGCCCUGAAUCCAAAGCCGAAGCAGAAGCCUCCGAACCGUGAAGGAAUGUCUUCCAUGAUUACUUCUCCCAAGAGAUCUUCUACAUAAAGAUCUUACUUGAAUGAUUGAUGAAACGUUUGUCAUAAGUGUACAUGUCAAGUUUUUUCAUUAGCAUGGGGGUUCUGCAUAAGCAAUAAAUGCGCAGCAAGCUAGCAAGUCAAGGAUGAUGCCUAGGAUUGGAUGUUUGGAUUAAAGAGAUGAGGCCGCGUGCCACCUCAUCCAAGGACUGUCAUGUACCACUAUAAAUACUUCCCUUGUGUAACAUUAAAGGGCUAAUGCAAGAAUCAAUACAAGAAACCAUACUUUACUCUCUUUCAAAUUAUCUUGCAACACAAUACAAGUUAAUACAUAUUUACAUGCACAUUCAUGAGCACUUAUUGGUAAUUAUUGUACAAUCGGAUUACGAACAUCCCAUCGGAUUCCGAACGUUCUCGUCCCGCGUCGUUGAGCUACUAUUAUGCCCCUAAUCCGUUCGUUCUAGACCGUCCACGUCUCUUAGCGUGUAG